rnacentral:lncRNA from 1 species
UGUGGAGAAGAAGGGCAGAGAGAGAAAAGCGCGGGAUGGAGGUCAGGGUCCAAACGAACCAACCGGCCGGCGCGAGAAGAAGGGCCCAGGCGGUUGGAAAUGUUUUUUUUUACACGCUCGUUUUGUUUUCCCUUCUCUCGCGUUUUUGUUUUGUGAAGCAAUUGGUCAUUGUAUCUCGAUUGAAACUUAGAUCAGAUUGUGUGAAAACCCAAUGAAACUGCUCAAUUUGCGUCGCGAUCUCGGUGUAUUAUUGUGCCGGAUAAAUAUUUGGAGUAGUAAAGACGCGUCCAUGAGUAAUUAAUAGUAUUAGAUCGAGCGAUAAUAUUAGUUACAAUAAGCAGGUAAUCUGAUUUACUUACUGCAGAUUGCCACAUGUGUGUUUUUUCGGAAAAGGGGAAUGUCGAGUCCUUUGAAUCGAUUGAUACCAUUUUUAUUACAAUGAAGAGAGAGAGAGGAGGGAUGAAGAAGAAGAAGCGAACUGCAUCGGCCGGUGACACCUGAAUCGGUGACAUAGCGUGUGGAUCAGCAUCUAUCGCUGAUCAAAGUGGACGGCCCGGAUGCGGCACAUAUAC